CUGGCUCAGAUUGAACGCUGGCGGCAGGCCUAACACAUGCAAGUCGAGCGGUAGCACAGAGAGCUUGCUCUCGGGUGACGAGCGGCGGACGGGUGAGUAAUGUCUGGGAAACUGCCUGAUGGAGGGGGAUAACUACUGGAAACGGUAGCUAAUACCGCAUAACGUCGCAAGACCAAAGUGGGGGACCUUCGGGCCUCAUGCCAUCAGAUGUGCCCAGAUGGGAUUAGCUAGUAGGUGGGGUAACGGCUCACCUAGGCGACGAUCCCUAGCUGGUCUGAGAGGAUGACCAGCCACACUGGAACUGAGACACGGUCCAGACUCCUACGGGAGGCAGCAGUGGGGAAUAUUGCACAAUGGGCGCAAGCCUGAUGCAGCCAUGCCGCGUGUGUGAAGAAGGCCUUCGGGUUGUAAAGCACUUUCAGCGGGGAGGAAGGCGAUAAGGUUAAUAACCUUGUCGAUUGACGUUACCCGCAGAAGAAGCACCGGCUAACUCCGUGCCAGCAGCCGCGGUAAUACGGAGGGUGCAAGCGUUAAUCGGAAUUACUGGGCGUAAAGCGCACGCAGGCGGUCUGUCAAGUCGGAUGUGAAAUCCCCGGGCUCAACCUGGGAACUGCAUUCGAAACUGGCAGGCUAGAGUCUUGUAGAGGGGGGUAGAAUUCCAGGUGUAGCGGUGAAAUGCGUAGAGAUCUGGAGGAAUACCGGUGGCGAAGGCGGCCCCCUGGACAAAGACUGACGCUCAGGUGCGAAAGCGUGGGGAGCAAACAGGAUUAGAUACCCUGGUAGUCCACGCCGUAAACGAUGUCGAUUUGGAGGUUGUGCCCUUGAGGCGUGGCUUCCGGAGCUAACGCGUUAAAUCGACCGCCUGGGGAGUACGGCCGCAAGGUUAAAACUCAAAUGAAUUGACGGGGGCCCGCACAAGCGGUGGAGCAUGUGGUUUAAUUCGAUGCAACGCGAAGAACCUUACCUGGUCUUGACAUCCACAGAACUUUCCAGAGAUGGAUUGGUGCCUUCGGGAACUGUGAGACAGGUGCUGCAUGGCUGUCGUCAGCUCGUGUUGUGAAAUGUUGGGUUAAGUCCCGCAACGAGCGCAACCCUUAUCCUUUGUUGCCAGCGGUUCGGCCGGGAACUCAAAGGAGACUGCCAGUGAUAAACUGGAGGAAGGUGGGGAUGACGUCAAGUCAUCAUGGCCCUUACGACCAGGGCUACACACGUGCUACAAUGGCAUAUACAAAGAGAAGCGACCUCGCGAGAGCAAGCGGACCUCAUAAAGUAUGUCGUAGUCCGGAUUGGAGUCUGCAACUCGACUCCAUGAAGUCGGAAUCGCUAGUAAUCGUAGAUCAGAAUGCUACGGUGAAUACGUUCCCGGGCCUUGUACACACCGCCCGUCACACCAUGGGAGUGGGUUGCAAAAGAAGUAGGUAGCUUAACCUUCGGGAGGGCGCUUACCACUUUGUGAUUCAUGACUGGGGUGAAGUCGUAACAAGG
rnacentral:rRNA from 1 species